rnacentral:rRNA from 1 species
GGCGCUGCGCGACCGUCUUGGCGCGGGUUGCCAGCGGUGUCCGGCUGCAGGGUCCGCCGCGGGGGGUGCACCGUUGUCCUGAGCCGUCCGCCGCGUCCCGGGUGCGCGGGCAUGCAUGGCUUGUGUCU